rnacentral:rRNA from 1 species
UACGAAGGUCCCGAGCGUUGUUCGGAAUCACUGGGCGUAAAGGGAGCGUAGGCGGCGCGGUAAGUCAGAUGUGAAAUCCCCGGGGCUCAACCCCGGAACUGCAUCCGAUACUGCCGUGCUAGAGGAUUGGAGAGGUAGCUGGAAUUCUUGGUGUAGCAGUGAAAUGCGUGGAGAUCAAGAGGAACACUCGUGGCGAAAGCGAGCUACUGGACAAUAUCUGACGCUGAGGCUCGAAGGCCAGGGUAGCGAAAGGG